CGAGCAGGCGGUGCUGCGGCCCCGGCACAUCGAGGUGCAGAUCCUCGCGGACGGCCAGGGCAACGUCAUGCACCUGUUCGAGCGGGACUGCUCGC
rnacentral:tRNA from 1 species